UACCUCAGUAACGGCGAGUGAAGCGGUAACAGCUCAAAUUUGAAAUCUGGGCCUCUCAGGCUCCGAGUUGUAAUUUGUAGAAGAUGCUUUGGGUGCGGCCCCGGUCUAAGUUCCUUGGAACAGGACGUCAUAGAGGGUGAGAAUCCCGUAUGUGAUCGGUGGCUUGCGCCCGUGUAAAGCUCUUUCGACGAGUCGGGUUGUUUGGGAAUGCAGCUCUAAAUGGGUGGUAAAUUUCAUCUAAAGCUAAAUAUUGGCCAGAGACCGAUAGCGCACAAGUAGAGUGAUCGAAAGAUGAAAAGCACUUUGGAAAGAGAGUUAAACAGUACGUGAAAUUGUUGAAAGGGAAGCGCUUGCAACCAGACUUGCGCGGGGUUGAUCAUCCGGGGUUCUCCCCGGUGCACUCGGCCUCGCUCAGGCCAGCAUCGGUUUCGGUGGUUGGAUAAAGGCCUUGGGAAUGUGACUCCUCUCGGGGAGUGUUAUAGCCCUCGGUGCAAUGCAGCCUACCGGGACCGAGGACCGCGCUUCGGCUAGGAUGCUGGCGUAAUGGUUGUAAGCGACCCGUCUUGAAACACGGACCAAGGAGUCUAACAUCUAUGCGAGUGUUUGGGUGUCAAACCCAUACGCGUAAUGAAAGUGAACGGAGGUGAGAACCCUUAAGGGUGCAUCAUCGACCGAUCCUGAUGUCUUCGGAUGGAUUUGAGUAAGAGCAUAGCUGUUGGGACCCGAAAGAUGGUGAACUAUGCCUGAAUAGGGUGAAGCCAGAGGAAACUCUGGUGGAGGCUCGCAGCGGUUCUGACGUGCAAAUCGAUCGUCAAAUUUGGGCAU
rnacentral:rRNA from 1 species